rnacentral:rRNA from 1 species
UACGAAGGGGGCUAGCGUUGUUCGGAAUUACUGGGCGUAAAGCGCACGUAGGCGGACAUUUAAGUCAGGGGUGAAAUCCCAGAGCUCAACUCUGGAACUGCCUUUGAUACUGGGUGUCUGGAGUAUGGAAGAGGUGAGUGGAAUUCCGAGUGUAGAGGUGAAAUUCGUAGAUAUUCGGAGGAACACCAGUGGCGAAGGCGGCUCACUGGUCCAUUACUGACGCUGAGGAGCGAAAGCGUGGGGAGCGAACAGG